rnacentral:lncRNA from 1 species
GACAAGCUUGUGAUCAUUUGUCUGAAUAAAGCCAAAAACAAGCUACGAACAUUUUCACUUGGAUUUUAAACAGGUUUUUCAGAUAAGAACAAGGAUACAUUGUCCUAAGAAAAGAUAAAGCCAAUAACAAGCUACGAACAUUUUCACUUUGGAAUUUAAACAGGCUUUUCAGAUAACAACAGGGAUUGCUUGCAAAGGUUCAGCCAUUUGAACGGUGAGUCCAAACUUCUCUUCCAUGUUCAUCUCUUGUGGUGAGAUCCCACCUUCAAGUUUCCAAUCAAAAGAGUUAAUAAGAGAUCCUAACAUCAGAUACAACAUUCGAUUCGCCAAAGGUAAUCCUGGGCAUAUUCGGCGUCCAGCUCCGAACGGAAUCAACCCAAAAUCCCUACCUUUGACAUCAAUUUCGGACCCCAAGAAUCUCUCUGGCAUAAAACUGUUUGGAUUUUCCCAAAUACUUGAAUCUCUACCGAUGGCCCAUGCAUUAACCAACACUUGUGAACCCUCUGGAACGUGGAAACCACAAAGGUCGGUGUCGGAGCCAGCUCUACGCGGAAGUAAUAGCGGGACUGCAGGAUGCAUUCGAAAGGUUUCUUUGAUAAUUGCUUGCAAAUAUGGUAAACUAUUUAUGUCUGAUUCCUCAAUUGGUUUCCCUUUACCGAUUACUUGAUCUAAUUCUUUCUUGACUUUAAGUAAAACAUGUGGAUUUCGAAGUACUUCUGCCAUUGCCCACUCUAAUGUAUUUGAUGUCGUAUCAGUUCCGGCGACAAAUAGAACCUGUCAUCUAACAUGAUUAAACCAAAGAUCUAGCAUUCGUAAUGAAUAGAUGUCAGGAUAUCUUUUUUUCUAAAUAUUAAUGUGUAAAGAUAAGGCGAGAAGAAUAUUUUAUAACCCAAUCACGCCAAGACAGUCUGUUUCAUACAUAUCGAUACGCAAGACACUAUGAGAAAAAAAAACGAACUGGAACCAGGCACGCUGUCCCCCAGAUAUAUUUUUGUGAUUUAACGAAGAAUUAGCAAAAAAAAAAAAUUGGAGAUGAAAAACUCUGGUUAGCAAACAUGAAUUAUAACUGGAUCAUUUAUGAAGAGAAUAAUUAAAGGUAGAUAGAAAAAAUUACCAGAAAUAAGUGUUUGAUAUGAUCUUUAUUAAGUUCUUCGAUAUCGCCUUCAAUGAUGUCGAGAAGAGUAUCCAAAACAUCAUUUGAUGCGGUAUAAUCUGGGGAUUUUCUUGAUUGCUGUCUUUCAUCCAUCAUAUUGCCGAAAAGUUUAAGCAACUUGUCGGAAUGAACAGUCAUCCGGCGCCGUACACCUUGUGGAUCCAUCUUUCUAAGCAAAGGGAAAUAAUCAGCCAAAUUAGGCUUCCCUGCCUCUACCAUGAUACUGUAAACUGUUUUCCUGAAUACUUGCGCUCUAGCUGAAUUUGGGUCAACCAAAUCCACUGAAAACAUAGUGUUGGACAACAAAUUAAUGGUAGUAUCAAAAGCAGCUUGGCCUAUGUUAAUGGCUUCACAUUUAAGGCAACUUUCGCCAACUUUAGCAAUCAGUUGUUGAAUCUUGUGCCGACGCAGGUAUUUAUUGGCAUCGAGUUUCAGACUAGAGAAAAUAUGGGUAUUACCAACUUUGCGAAGAGUUCUCCAAAGCGGCGACACAGGUAUCCAUGGCAUCCCAAAUUCAUGGUGUUGGCUGGCUCGAAUUGCAUCCACAAUGGUUCGGUUGC